rnacentral:misc_RNA from 1 species
CUGGGUCAAUCUACCCGAAAGGGAGAAUCCAAACCCCUGAAUACUGUACCUUUAGUUGCUUUGGCGGGCCACAGGGCUCACGCCCUGUACCGGCUCCAGCUGGUUAGCGCCCGCCAGAGGACCCUAAACUCUUGAAUAUUGAAAUCGUCUGAGUAAACAAAAAAUUAUUUA